GGUUUCUUUGUGUAGCACUGGCUGUCCUGAAACUCGCUCUGUAGACCAAGCUGGCCUUGAACUCAUAGAUCCACCUGCCUCUGCCUCCCAGGUGUUGGGAUUAAAGGCAUGCACCACCAUUGCCC
rnacentral:miRNA from 1 species